AAAGAAGGCUUUUGGGUUGUAAAAUUUUUUUGUUAGGGAAGAACAAGUCCCAGAGUAAAUGCUGGUACCUUGACGGUACCUAACGAGAAAACCCCGGCUAAAUACGUGCCAGCAGCCGCGGUAAUAAGUAGGGGGCCAGCGUUGUCCGGAAUUAUUGGGGGUAAAGCGCGCGCCGGCGGUUCUUUAAGUUUGAUGUGAAAGCCCACGGGUCAACCGUGGAGGGUCAUUGGAAACUGGGGGACUUGAGUGCAGAAGAGGAGAGUGGAAUUCCACGUGUAGCGGUGAAAUGCGUAGAGAUGUGGAGGAACACCAGUGGCGAAGGCGACUCUCUGGUCUGUAACUGACGCUGAGGCGCGAAAGCGUGGGGAGCAAACAGGAUUAGAUACCCUGGUAGUCCACGCCGUAAACGAUGAGUGCUAAGUGUU
rnacentral:rRNA from 1 species